AUGGAGCAGGACGCGCCGCCCGUGCCGCACCAGGCCCAGGACGACGGCGCCGUGGACGGCUGGGCGCGCGACGACACGGAGCCCUCCCCUACGGCGUCCCGGCGGAGUGCUCCGAGGCGUAGAUCCUCCUCCUUGCCGCCGCCUCCGUGCAGCCGCUCGUCCGCACCCUCAACUACGACUCGGUGGGGAGGAGCCCUGGGACGACCUCGACGCCUGUUCCCGCGACCACAACCACUGCGUCCGCCCCGCAAGAAAGCCGCAUGGAUUGGGGAUAUGUACUUCGGUUUGGGUUCAUCAAAAGGGGCAAUUGUUGAGCAUUUGUAUCAACUAUCGAGGAUCUCAAGUUCACAUGGAUCACACUAUGAUCAAGUGCAUUCUGGUGCUGUGAUGAUUGUGACGGAAAAUGUUAGCAGCAGAAGCAAUCGCUACGAUCUUGACCUCCAUACGAAAUCUGCAAGGGUAUCAACAACAAAGGAAACUGGUGUAAGAUUGAGUACUAAGACUUGA
rnacentral:rRNA from 1 species